AGAAUCAACGCUGGCGGCGUGCCUAACACAUGCAAGUCGAACGAGAAAGUGGAGCAAUCCAUGAGUAAAGUGGCGCACGGGUGAGUAACACGUGACUAACCUACCCUUGAGUGGGGAAUAACCUAGGGAAACCUGGGCUAAUACCGCAUAACACCUACGGGUCAAAGGAGCAAUUCGCUUAAGGAGGGGUCGCGGCAGAUUAGCUAGUUGGCGGGGUAAUGGCCCACCAAGGCAGUGAUCUGUA
rnacentral:rRNA from 1 species